rnacentral:rRNA from 1 species
CCUACGGGCGGCAGCAGUGGGGAAUAUUGGACAAUGGGGGGAACCCUGAUCCAGCCAUGCCGCGUGUGUGAAGAAGGCCCUCGGGUUGUAAAGCACUUUCAGUGAGGAAGAACGCCUGGUGGUUAAUACCCAUCAGGAAAGACAUCACUCACAGAAGAAGCACCGGCUAACUCCGUGCCAGCAGCCGCGGUAAUACGGAGGGUGCGAGCGUUAAUCGGAAUUACUGGGCGUAAAGCGCGCGUAGGUGGCUUGAUAAGCCGGUUGUGAAAGCCCCGGGCUCAACCUGGGAACGGCAUCCGGAACUGUCAAGCUAGAGUGCAGGAGAGGAAGGUAGAAUUCCCGGUGUAGCGGUGAAAUGCGUAGAGAUCGGGAGGAAUACCAGUGGCGAAGGCGGUCUUCUGGACUGACACUGACACUGAGGUGCGAAAGCGUGGGUAGCAAACAGGAUUAGAUACCCUUGUAGUC